rnacentral:lncRNA from 1 species
CAUUCACCAUGAGAUACCAGAGGGAAAAAGAGGCCAAAUACCUUUCUUGGGGCAUGAGAUUUGGAUGGGUUUCUAUCUUCUUUGGCAUGAACAAAGGAGGAGAUCGAUCUUCUCUUGGGUGAGAGACCUAGAACUGUUCUAGGAUUUCUAGGUGAGGAAAAAUCAAAAAGAAGAGAGUCAUUAUCUAUCUUUUCUCCACCAUCCAGAAUUUUCUUUUGAUCCAUCUUCAAUAUUGAAAAGGUUUGAGGUGAUCGAAGAAGGAGAUCAUAUCAG